rnacentral:rRNA from 1 species
AUUGAACGCUGGCGGCAUGCCUUACACAUGCAAGUCGAACGGCAGCACGGGAGCAAUCCUGGUGGCGAGUGGCGAACGGGUGAGUAAUAUAUCGGAACGUGCCCAGUCGUGGGGGAUAACGUAGCGAAAGCUACGCUAAUACCGCAUACGAUCUAUGGAUGAAAGCGGGGGAUCGCAAGACCUCGCGCGAUUGGAGCGGCCGAUAUCAGAUUAGGUAGUUGGUGAGGUAAAGGCCCACCAAGGCGACGAUCUGUAGCUGGUCUGAGAGGACGACCAGCCACACUGGGACUGAGACACGGCCCAGACUCCUACGGGAGGCAGCAGUGUGGAAUUUUGGACAAUGGGCGCAAGCCUGAUCCAGCAAUGCCGCGUGCAGGAUGAAGGCCUUCGGGUUGUAAACUGCUUUUGUACGGAGCGAAAAGGCUUCCACUAAUACUGGGGGCUCAUGACGGUACCGUAAGAAUAAGCACCGGCUAACUACGUGCCAGCCGCCGCGGUAACAC